rnacentral:rRNA from 1 species
CCUACGGGAGGCAGCAGUGAGGAAUAUUGGUCAAUGGACGAGAGUCUGAACCAGCCAAGUAGCGUGAAGGAUGACUGCCCUAUGGGUUGUAAACUUCUUUUAUAAAGGAAUAAAACGAGGCACGUGUGCCUUUUUGUAUGUACUUUAUGAAUAAGGAUCGGCUAACUCCGUGCCAGCAGCCGCGGUAAUACGGAGGAUCCGAGCGUUAUCCGGAUUUAUUGGGUUUAAAGGGAGCGUAGAUGGGUUGUUAAGUCAGUUGUGAAAGUUUGCGGCUCAACCGUAAAAUUGCAAUUGAUACUGGCAGUCUUGAGUACAGUUGAGGUAAGCGGAAUUCGUGGUGUAGCGGUGAAAUGCUUAGAUAUCACGAAGAACCCCGAUUGCGAAGGCAGCUUACUAAACUGUGACUGACAUUGAUGCUCGAAAGUGUGGGUAUCAAACAGGAUUAGAUACCCUAGUAGUC